AUUUUUCUAGUACAAACAAAGUAUAAGUGACUUCCAAUCACUUGAUCUUGGUUAAAAUCCAAGGAAAAAUA
rnacentral:tRNA from 1 species